rnacentral:lncRNA from 1 species
CAUUUGUUUUUCCAUUUGUUUUCCCUUUUCGCUUUUUGCAUGAAAUUGGUGAUCACAAAAGACCCUAAAAACAAGAAUAAAAGCAAUCUUUUCAUCUGCAUAACGAUUGUCUUGUUUGAUUCUCAAAGUGCUUUUUAUACUCAAAAUCUUUAUGCAGGUUGUUUCUCAAACCCAUUGAACAUAAUGAUCAGACGUCAUCUCCCAAUUUUGAAUUCCCUGUAUUUGAAGCGGACGAAGAUGAUGUUGAAGGGAUUCCUGACGAGAUUUCCCGACUUCUUGAGCAAGAAAAGAAGAUCACACUCAGCUGCAUCUCGAGAAUCAGCAGAACAGCCAACUGGGGCAUUAAAAAAAAACAACA